GACUAAAAAAAGGAAGGGUCAAAGGAAGCCGCGCACAAAAAAAGAGAACAUGGCCCAGUUAUCACAAAAAAAAACUAUCAGCUAAAGGCUCAAGAAAGAUAGACCAAUUUAAGUUCAAAAAAAAGAAAAGAAAGAUAGACCAAUUCUGCGUUCCCCUUCUUAAGGGGGAGAAGACCGGGCAAAUCUCCUAAAAAAAAGGCAUCAGCAACAGCACCCACCUUCAACCUUACAAAAUAAUCCUGACUCACAUAAUAUUUUGCCAUUUAAAACUCACCUAGCCUCACAUCCCACUUCACCAGUUUUUUAGUUUUAAGAGUAACAAUUGCAUGGUUGACAUCUCUUCGGAUUACAUACACAUCUGUUCCAUAUUUUGCAGAAUACUCAUAAAGAAAAAUUCAAAAACAAGAUGACGAAUGAUUGGACAACAAGAUUAUCAAGGGGCUUUGCCAUUCUUCAGGUAAGUGAAGAAGUGGAGCGUGCUUUGGCGAAAUCGGGGCAUGUUAAAUUGACUGAAAGGUAAAAGAAUGGCUUGAAAGCUUUGGAAUAUUUGAUCAAAAGGUGAUGGUGCUGAUGAGGAAUCUGAAGAUGGAGUUGCACAUUUACAUCAUGAAGACAGUGUUAAAAACAUGUAUUUAAUUUUGAGCUGCAUUGGCUGCGCCCUGUUGUAGGCAUUCUUCCAAGCACAUAGCUGUUAUUGGGAUAGUUGUAUUGACUCCCUUGCAGCUGGUAAGGUUUGAAGUAAUUCAUUGAAAGCCACCACAUGUCUUGGGAGAGUAAACUAGGCACUAUCUGAAACUCUCACCCAAUCCAUAACUAAGCAUCUAAAAAAUUCAAUGAUACAAUUUAGCAAGCUAGUCAUAUUUUAAAAAUGCAUGUUAAUUAAUCUUAAAGGUUAGUGAUCAUAAAUUGAAACAUGCUUAUAAAUAAUAAGCACCAAAUUGUGGACCCGAAUUCCCUACAGUUAGGGAAUCUUGCAUUCGGUGCAGUUAGAGGUCCAGAACCAACCUUGAUCAAAUCCUUAGAUUUAAAAUAUUAUUACACUCUUAAAAUAAUAUUUUUAAAUUAGAGUUGUAGGAUUUUGAUCGGGCAGAUGUACUUCUAUGACUUCACUGAAUUCAAGAUUCAUUUACUUUAUCAAAUAGUUUACCUGAGAUGAUAUAACUUACAAGAGCCGCCCGAGGAUGGAAGCUCCUAUGGAAGAAAGCCUUGGGCAACUAUUUCUUUCACAUGAUCAUCCAUCCUCAGGCUGUUUUCUUGUUACUUAUGUCGUCCCAGGUAAAUAAUUUGAUAAAGUAAGUGAAUCCUGAAUUCAGUGAAGUCAUAGAACUAUAUUUGCUCGAUCAAAAUCAUACAACUCUAAUUUAAAAAUAUUAGUUUAAGAGUGUAAUAAUAUUUUAAAUCUAAGGAUUUGAUCAAGGUUGGUUCAGGACCUCUGACAGCACCGAAUGCAAGAUUCCCUAACUGUAGGGAAUCCGGGUUCACAAUUUGGUGGUUGUUAUUUAUAAGCACGUUUCAAUUUAUGAUCAUGAAAAAGAGAAGAGCCCCAAUGGAGGAAAAACAAGGCUGCAAAUAGUCUUCUUAGUAUUUGCUUGGAAGCUUUUCAUACCACAUCCUCCCCGACUAUUUCUUCCUGGCAAUAUCAAUCUUUUUCUUUGCUUUGCCUUAUUUAGAAGGAUGCUACCAUUCCACAUCAAAUUUGACCAGGAAGAAAAGGGCUCAGUAUUGGCUCAUUCGGCCUAGAUUAGAACAUUGUUGCUUACUUCUUUGGAAGUCCUCUUGUUGCUCCUGGGUCAACUAUAGUUAACGUAUUGAUUGGAUUUUCAUGUUCC